rnacentral:rRNA from 1 species
GAUGAACGCUGGCGGCGUGCCUAAUACAUGCAAGUCGAGCGAACGGACGAGAAGCUUGCUUCUCUGAUGUUAGCGGCGGACGGGUGAGUAACACGUGGAUAACCUACCUAUAAGACUGGGAUAACUUCGGGAAACCGGAGCUAAUACCGGAUAAUAUUUUGAACCGCAUGAUUCAACAGUGAAAGACGGUCUUGCUGUCACUUAUAGAUGGAUCCGCGCUGCAUUAGCUAGUUGGUAAGGUAACGGCUUACCAAGGCAACGAUGCAUAGCCGACCUGAGAGGGUGAUCGGCCAGACUGGAACUGAGACACGGUACAGACUCCUACGGGAGGCAGCAGUAGGGAAUCUUCCGCAAUGGGCGAAAGCCUGACGGAGCAACGACGCGUGAGUGAUGAAGGUCUUCGGAUCGUAAAACUCUGUUAUUAGGGAAAAACAUAUGUGUAAGUAACUGUGCACAUCUUGACGGUACCUAAUCAGAAAGCCACGGCUAACUACGUG